AUGUGUGUGUGCUUGCAAGCGUGUGUUAGCCCGUGUGCAUCUAUUUCUAUUCUCUUGUUUAGCAAACCUGUAGGCUGUCCUCACUGCCAGACAGGCUGAUAUGCUCUAGCUGCCAGCUCCACCGUCUUCUGUCCAGAUGCCCUGUUUAAAUCAAUUACCCUCUCUGUCUGCUUUAUCCCAGUCAUUAGGCAUCUCUCUGUCCUCACAUAUCUUCUUCUUCCAGUCUCUAAUCUCAUAGUGACGUAUAUCCUGUGUUGUAUUUUGCUCAGGGGCUUGGGAGACGACCACCCGGUCGCCAUAUCCUGAGGUGACAGUGAGGUCCUCGCGGGUGGACAACACCCCCUUGGCAGUGUCAGUUUUGGAGGAGUUACCUGGGAGUGUCCCUGACCUGAGGGAGGAGGCCAAGCACCACCAGCCAUGCCCGGUUGUACACAGCACACACCUGGACCAGGAGCUGGACACAGGUGUUUCUGGGAAGAGAGUUACAACAUGAGGUCAUAACCACUCUUCUUCGGA